rnacentral:rRNA from 1 species
UACGUAGGUGGCAAGCGUUGUCCGGAAUUAUUGGGCGUAAAGCGCGCGCAGGCGGCCUUUUAAGUCUGAUGUGAAAGCCCACGGCUCAACCGUGGAAGGUCAUUGGAAACUGAAAGGCUUGAGUACAGAAGAGGAAAGCGGAAUUCCACGUGUAGCGGUGAAAUGCGUAGAGAUGUGGAGGAACACCAGUGGCGAAGGCGGCUUUCUGGUCUGUAACUGACGCUGGAGGCGCGAAAGCGUGGGGAGCAAACAGG